CCUACGGGUGGCAGCAGUGAGGAAUAUUGGGCAAUGGCGGCAACUCUGACCCAGCCAUGCCGCGUGAGGGAAGAAGGCUCUCGGAUUGUAAAGCUCUUUCGGAUGUGACGAUGAUGACGGUAGCAUCUAAAGAAGCCCCGGCUAACUUCGUGCCAGCAGCCGCGGUAAUACGAAGGGGGCAAGCGUUGUUCGGAAUUACUGGGCGUAAAGGGAGUGUAGGCGGUUUAGUAAGAUAGUGGUGAAAUCCCAGGGCUUAACCUUGGAUUUGCCAUUAUAACUAUUAGACUAGAGUGACAGAGAGGUAAGCGGAAUGCGCGGUGUAGAGGUGAAAUUCAUAGAUAUUGGGCAGAACACCAAUGGCGAAGGCGACUAUCUGGCUGUACAUUGACGCUGAGGCUCGAAAGCAUGGGGAUCAAACAGGAUUAGAUACCCUUGUAGUC
rnacentral:rRNA from 1 species